GCAAACCUGAGUAGGAGUUCCCUCUUUCUGUUUGGCAAUUAAAUUAAUUAGCCCCUUAUCUUGCAAAGCUUAAUUGUGUGCCUGAGUCAUGUGAGACUUGAUAUUCAUGCUGAAGGUUAAAUUCACUUGUCAGGGCUUGCAGUGCUGAACUUUCUUGGGUGAAGGCAAGACAGCAGACACACAGGCAGGGUUUAAUGGGAUGUUGGGAAUGGCACGAUGAUGAGAGAAGAGGUGAAAAAUCACCAGCUGACAAGGACUGGGGAGUAGUGCCUGGGGAAGAUAGCAAAAGGUAUGCCUAGAAGUUGUGCAUUGUCCAAUCUCCCUGAAAACCAGACUAAGACUCAGAGGACUGCAGAGGCUGAGAGGAGAGCUGCAGUUAUUUUAAAAGAGUUGCAGGAUCCUAGCAUUGGAACUUCUUUUUCCAUGUGCGUAAGGAAAACAGGAUCAAAUCUCACUUUUACCACAGCUGUUGUGUUGCUCUCAAGGCAGAGACAAGCUGAUGUGUCCAGCACUCAGGGGUGUCCUCUAUUUUGAACUCCUCCUUCUGAAGAAGUUGUGCUGGGGGCUUGAUACCCUUGUUCUGAACUGCAGCAGAUGUAUUAGAAUCUCCCAGCCUUCACACACAGCAAAUCCAGGAGCUACACUGGCCUAUAAACACUGGAAAUUAAUGACAUGACAACCCCAGGAAAUAGUGCUUCAGAUAUGCAAGUGCCUCAUGGGAGGAACUCAUUACUGGAGUUACAGUAAAUUGCCACUGAGUGAAUGCUGGAGGAGCUUCCCACACUUCAUAAGCUUGGUCUUGUCUGAUUUCAAGGGAUAAGUUCAGUGCAUUUGACUAAAUAUAUAUCAAGAAAGAAGCCAAGCCUGAACAGCUGCUUGCUUUGCUGGAUAAGACUUAUAUUUUCAUUUAAAAAGCUAUUUUUUUCCUGUCUUAAUGUUAACUGACAUAAUAGCAAAGUUAACUAUCCUGAAAACACCCUGCCCUGAGGUGUCAUCUCAAGAAUCUUUUUCAAACUGAAAUUAAAUCAGUCAAUAAUUAAAGUGCCAUAAGGACAAAAGGUGUCUCAUGUCACACUAGAUUAGACAAAGUGUUUUGUGCUGUCCAGAACUUCCCUUUUUGCCAUUGCAGUGUUUGCCUUGUUCAUUAUUGCUGUUCUCCUCAAAAUCAAGCUCAGCUCUAGAUGUGAAAGUUCAAAAUUGCAGUUGUCAUCCAGAGAAGAUGGCAAAUUCCCCUUUCCUCUUUCCAGUGGGCUGGUGAAGGGAUGUUGAGCACUAAUGCUGGGAACAUGGGCAGUGUAUACCCAUGUGCUGGCUUGUUCAGACACACAUUUGAUAUGGAUGCAGCACUGAUGGAAAACAAGGGCCUCUUCUUAUUUUUAUGAAGAUUAGUGGUGUCCAUCUGUGGUCUUACACUGCUUAACUGCCUGUUUUUAAAGGUAUUUGUAGUAGAUAAACAAACUGUAAAAAAAGCAAAUGCUGGAUUCAUAAAGUUUCAAGUGCUGGUGGGAAAACAAUGGAAAAAUGUAUUAAACAGAACAUUUCCCAGUCCAGAAUUAUAUGGGCUGCCAUACCCAGGAUUAAACUUAUGUUCAACUGUUGCUAAAUUGGCAAAAUACUAACCUGCACCUUUCUAGUCCCUGUCCUGCCAUUUAAUGUGAGCUUUUCUUGAGACAAGAUGCAGGUUUAUUGCAAGAAUUAGUGGGCAGGAUUCUCUGCCAUAGGGAUGUGCCACUGCAAGGUCAUGAGCUUUCUUUAAGGCUUAAAAGUGAAAACACCACCCACAAAUAUCCAGGGAUACCCAAAUAUUGGUAUAUUUGGCGUUCAUUGUCCUGUUAAUAAGUUUCUGCUGCUGACUGGAUGACCCAAGCAAUACUGUGUCCUUGAAAAUAAUUUUUUCCUCCUCCUCUCUUUGUCAUCAAGAAAACAUGAGUUUUAGUCUGCACUGUCAUAUUUCAAAUGCCUCUAAACCAGAGCUCUGCAGGAAAUGCUGCAUUUUGGCUCGGCAUCUUAAUGCCUGGUGCUUUAGCUCAGCAGUGGGAAGGAGGAGACAGAUAUGAGGGGGCCAAAAUUCUUCCCAACUGCAGCUCACUGCGCUCUGAUCGAGAGCUUUUGUAUGCAUUGUUCACAUUGUGAACCACUCUGUAUUACACUGGGGACUUCAGAGGAAUUUCUGAGAGCAUGGGCAGAUGGUGGCUGUGAUGCAGCUGCCUUCGUUUUGGCCACAAAAUUUAAUUUCUGUUCCUAGAAAAAUUGAAGAAUGUCACUUAUUCACCUUUCUAAUAAAGGUAUUCAGGUGUGCAUGCGACACCAGAGAAACAGGGGGUUUGCCUGCUGAAAGAUACAUCCUUCUGAAAAGUUUCUCAAAAUCCGAGGGCAGCAAGAUGAAAGAAGUUGAGGAAAGACUGUCCUUAACAGGCUUAUAUCUUUUGUGCACUUGAAUGGCACAAAGCUUCUGCCUGUUGGAUGUGACACCUCUCUGCAGAAGCAGUUUAAAAUCAUACUCAGCCCUAGGUAGGUCCACCCUGGUUGCAGUGUUUCUUAACUUGGGGACAACAUCUAUAUCUGAUGAAAAAUAUGAGCAGAACUACAUCUCUUUUGCCCAGCAUCUGUCUUCCUUCUAAUCUGCUCACUGCUAACAAUCCCUUUGUGGUCAGAUAACAUCUAUUUCUGUUCUACUGUGAAAAGCUCAAGUAGAAAGUCCACCAAUUGUUGAGAAAGAA